CGGGAUAACACCUGGAAACAGAUGCUAAUACCGGAUAACAACAGAUGAUGCCUAUCAACUGUUUAAAAGAUGGUUCUGCUAUCACUCUUGGAUGGACCUGCGGUGCAUUAGCUAGUUGGUAGGGUAACGGCCUACCAAGGCGAUGAUGCAUAGCCGAGUUGAGAGACUGAUCGGCCACAUUGGGACUGAGACACGGCCCAAACUCCUACGGGAGGCAGCAGCC
rnacentral:rRNA from 1 species